GAAGAAGCCCGGCGGCUCGCUCAGCUGCAAAAGAGACGUGAAAUGCGCGAGGCUGGCAUCACA
rnacentral:SRP_RNA from 16 species